ACAGCAGCCGCCGCGGUAAUACGGAGGGUGCAAGCGUUAAUCGGAAUUACUGGGCGUAAAGCGCACGUAGGCGGCUUGGUAAGUUAGAGGCGAAAGCCCGGAGCUCAACUCCGGAAUUGCCUUUAAGACUGCCGAGCUAGUAGGUGAGAGAGGUAAGUGGAAUUCCGAGUGUAGAGGUGAAAUUCGUAGAUAUUCGGAAGAACACCAGUGGCGAAGGCGGCUUACUGGCUCAUUCUAGACGCUGAGGUGCGAAAGCGUGGGGAGCAAACAGGAUUAGAUGACCCCUGUAGUCCCUGUCUCUUAUU
rnacentral:rRNA from 1 species